GAUGAACGCUGGCGGCGUGCCUAAUACAUGCAAGUCGAGCGAACGGACGAGAAGCUUGCUUCUCUGAUGUUAGCGGCGGACGGGUGAGUAACACGUGGAUAACCUACCUAUAAGACUGGGAUAACUUCGGGAAACCGUAGCUAAUACCGGAUAAUAUUUUGAACCGCAUGGUUCAAAAGUGAAAGACGGUCUUGCUGUCACUUAUAGAUGGAUCCGCGCUGCAUUAGCUAGUUGGUAAGGUAACGGCUUACCAAGGCAACGAUGCAUAGCCGACCUGAGAGGGUGAUCGGCCACACUGGAACUGAGACACGGUCCAGAACCCUACGGGAGGCAGAAGUAGGGAAUCUUCCGCAAUGGGCGAAAGCCUGACGGAGCAACGCCGCGUGAGUGAUGAAGGUCUUCGGAUCGUAAAACUCUGUUAUUAGGGAAGAAAAUAUGUGUAAGUAACUGUGCACAUCUUGACGGUACCUAAUCAGAAAGCAACGGCUAACUACGU
rnacentral:rRNA from 1 species